AGUGAACGCUGGCGGUAGGCCUAACACAUGCAAGUCGAACGGCAGCACAGUAAGAGCUUGCUCUUACGGGUGUCGCGUGGCGGACGGGUGCGGAAUACAUCGGAAUCUACUUUUUCGUGGGGGCUAACGUCGGGAAACUUACGCUAAUACCGCAUACGACCUACGGGUGAAAGCAGGGGAUCUUCGGACCUUGCGCGAUUGAAUGAGCCGAUGUCGGAUUAGCUCGUUGGCGGGGUAAAGGCCCACCAAGGCGACGAUCCGUAGCUGGUCUGAGAGGAUGAUCAGCCACACUGGAAGUGAGACACGGUCCAGACUCCUACGGGAGGAAGCAGUGGGGAAUAUUGGACAAUGGGCGCAAGCCUGAUCCAGCCAUACCGCGUGGGUGAAGAAGGCCUUCGGGUUGUAAAGCCCUUUUGUUGGGAAAGAAAAGCAGCAGGUUAAUACCCCGCGGUACUGACGGUACCCAAAGAAUAAGCACCGGCUAACUUCGUG
rnacentral:rRNA from 1 species